AGCGGCGAAAGGGAGAGUAACGCGUGGAUACCUACCUUCAGGUACGGAAUAUCGGCGGGAAACUGCCGGUAAUGCCGUAUGAUGUCUCCGGACUAAAGCCCCGGCGCCUGGAGACGGGUCCGCGUACCAUUAGCUAGUUGGUGGGGUAACGGCCUACCAAGGCUAAGAUGGUUAGUGGGCGUGAGAGCGUGGCCCACCUCACUGGGACUGAGACACUGCCCAGACACCUACGGGUGGCUGCAGUCGAGAAUCUUUGUCAAUGGGCGAAAGCCUGAACAAGCGAUGCCGCGUGCGGGAUGAAGGCCUUCGGGUUGUAAACCGCUGUCAGAGGGGAGCAAAUUUUGAGCGAUCCUCAGAGGAAGCCCGGGCUAAGUUCGUGCCAGCAGCCGCGGUAACACGAACCGGGCAAACGUUAUUCGGAAUCACUGGGCUUAAAGGGUGCGUAGGCGGCAUUGUAAGUCGGGUGUGAAAUCCCCCAGCUCAACUGGGGAACUGCGCCCGAUACUGCGGUGCUUGAGGGAGAUAGAGGUGAGCGGAACUAGCAGUGGAGCGGUGAAGUGCGUUGAUAUUGCUGGGAACACCCGUGGCGAAAGCGGCUCACUGGGUCUCUUCUGA
rnacentral:rRNA from 1 species